rnacentral:rRNA from 1 species
CUACGGGGGGCACCAGUGAGGAAUAUUGCACAAUGGAGGAAACUCUGAUGCAGCAACGCCGCGUGGAGGAUGACGCAUUUCGGUGUGUAAACUCCUUUUAUAUGUCAAGAAAAUGACGGUAGCAUAUGAAUAAGCACCGGCUAACUCCGUGCCAGCAGCCGCGGUAAUACGGAGGGUGCAAGCGUUACUCGGAAUCAUUGGGCGUAAAGGACGCGUAGGCGGGAUAUCAAGUCAGGUGUGAAAUCCUACAGCUUAACUGUAGAACUGCACUUGAAACUGGUAACCUAGAGUAUGGGAGGGGGAGAUGGAAUUAGUGGUGUAGGGGUAAAAUCCGUAGAUAUCACUAGGAAUACCUAAAGCGAAGGCGAUCUCCUGGAACAUAACUGACGCUAAGGCGUGAAAGCGUGGGGAGCAAACAGGAUUAGAUACCCUAUAGUC